AGGGCUAACGGUGGAUACCUAGGCACACAGAGGCGAAGAAGGACGUAGUUACCGACGAUACGCUUCGGGGAGCUGGAAGCAAGCAUUGAUCCGAAGGUUUCCGAAUGGGGCAACCCCAAGAAUGGUCACCUGAAUCUAUAGGGUGACACAAGCUAACCGGGCGAACUGAAACAUCUUAGUAACCCGAGGAAGAGAAAGCAAAAGCGAUUCCCCCAGUAGCGGCGAGCGAAAAGGGACCAGGCCUAAACCAUCGACUACGGUUGAUGGGGUUGUGGGACAGUGAUGUGGACUGUAGCGGUUAAACGAAGCAGCUGAAAACUGCACCAGAGAAGGUGAAAGUCCUGUAGUUGAAAACUUAAACAGCCUAACUGUAUCCCGAGUAGCACGGAGCCCGUGGAAUUCCGUGUGAAUCAGCGAGGACCACCUCGUAAGGCUAAAUACUCCUGUGUGACCGAUAGCGAAACAGUACCGCGAGGGAAAGGUGAAAAGAACCCCGGCAAGGGGAGUGAAAUAGAACAUGAAACCGUUAGCCUACAAGCAAUGGGAGGACGAUUUAACGUCUGACCGUGUGCCUGUUGAAGAAUGAGCCGGCGACUUACAGGCUGUGGCAGGUUAAAUGGGAGACCAUGAAGCCAAAGUGAAAGCGAGCCUGAAUAGGGCGAUAGUCACAGUUUGUAGACCCGAACCCGGGUGAUCUAACCAUGGCCAGGAUAAAGCUAGGGUAAUACCUUGUGGAGGUCCGAACCGACCAACGUUGAAAAGUUGGCGGAUGAGCUGUGGUUAGGGGUGAAAUGCCAAUCGAACCCGGAGCUAGCUGGUUCUCCCCGAAAUGCGUUUAGGCGCAGCGGUUGUGUACCUUAUGGGGGGGUAAAGCACUAUUUCGCUGCGGGCUGCGAGAGCGGUACCAAAGCGAGAUAAACUCAGAAUACCCUAUAAGCAUCAACCAGUGAGACGGUGGGGGAUAAGCUUCAUCGUCGAAAGGGAAACAGCCCAGACCACCAGCUAAGGUCCCAAAAUAAAUACUAAGUGAUAAAGGAGGUGGGAGUGCAUAGACAACCAGGAGGUUUGCCUAGAAGCAGCAACCCUUAAAAGAGUGCGUAAUAGCUCACUGGUCAAGCGCUCCUGCGCCGAAAAUGAACGGGGCUAAGUAUUUUACCGAAGCUGUGGACAGGAAACUGUGGUAGGGGAGCGUUCUGUAUAGGGUGAAGCACUAGCGGCAAGCAGGUGUGGACAGUACAGAAGUGAGAAUGUCGGCUUGAGUAGCGAAAAUAUAUGUGAGAAUCAUAUACCCCGAAAUCCUAAGGGUUCCUCCGGAAGGCUCGUCCGCGGAGGGUUAGUCAGGACCUAAGGCGAGGCCGAAAGGCGUAGUCGAUGGACAACGGGUUAACAUUCCCGUACUGAUUAGAAAUUGUGGCGGGGGACGGAGAAGGCUUAGUAUCAGCCGGAAGAUGGUUACCGGUGCAAGGAAACGAGGCGAUGAGGGACGGAGAAAACGUCCUGAGCCAAGUUCUGAGUCCGAGGAGCUACGGCUCUUAAGUGAUGCGAGUCAGACUUCCCAGAAAAGCCCGAACCACGUUAAUUUCUAAUUACCUGUACCCGAAACCGACACAGGUAGGAGAGUAGAGAAUACUAAGGGGCGCGAGAUAACUCUCUCUAAGGAACUCGGCAAAAUGACCCCGUAACUUUGGGAGAAGGGGUGCCACCGCAAGGUGGUCGCAGUGAAGAGGCCCAGGCGACUGUUUACCAAAAACACAGGUCUCCGCCAAGUCGCAAGACGCAGUAUGGGGCUGACGCCUGCCCAGUGCGGAAGGUUAAGGAAGUUGGUUAGCUUCGGCGAAGCUAGCGACCGAAGCCCCGGUGAACGGCGGCCGUAACUAUAACGGUCCUAAGGUAGCGAAAUUCCUUGUCGGGUAAGUUCCGACCCGCACGAAAGGCGUAACGAUCUGGGCACUGUCUCGGAGAGAGGCUCGGCGAAAUAGGAUUGUCUGUGAAGAUACGGACUACCUGCACCCGGACAGAAAGACCCUAUGAAGCUUUACUGUAGCUUGGAAUUGGGUUCGGGCUUCCCUUGCGCAGCAUAGGUGGGAGGCGUUGAAGUUUUCCUCGUGGGGAAAAUGGAGCCAACGGUGAGAUACCACUCUAGGGAGGCUAGAAUUCUAACUUAGACCCGUAAUCCGGGUUAAGGACAGUUUCAGGUGGGCAGUUUGACUGGGGGCGGUCGCCUC
rnacentral:rRNA from 1 species